GACGAACGCUGGCGGCAUGCCUAAUACAUGCAAGUAGAACGAUGCCGGCGGAGCUUGCUUCUCUGGAUUAGUUGCGAACGGGUGAGUUACGCGUAGGUACCCUGCCUGGUAGCGGGGGAUAACUUUUGGAAACGUUAGCUAUUCCCGCCUAACAGUAGUUAUCGCAUGAUAUCUACUUGUAAGGUGCACUUGCUUCACUACUAGAUGGCUAUGCGUUGUAUUAGCUAGUAGGUGUGGUAACGGCUCAACAAGGCGACGAUGCAUAGCCGACCUCAGAGGGUGGACGGCCAGAUGGGGAGUGAGACACAGCCCAGACUCCGGCGGUGGGCAGCAGUAGAGAAUCUUCGGCGAGGGAGGGGAGUCGGAUCGUGCAACGCCGCGGGAGUGAUGAAGGUUUACGGAUGGGAAAGCGCUGUAGUAAUUGGAGAACGAAUGUGAUAGUAGAAGGUACGCACUGGAACGGAACCGGACCAGAAAGGGACGGUAAACUACUG
rnacentral:rRNA from 1 species